CAAGGAGAGCACUCACCUCGCUGGAAGAGAAGAUUAAAGUGUGUGAGCGCCCAGACAGAUUGGGUUCAGCGACUAACCCAGAGAUGUCUGCACUGGGGCUGGCAGGGUUACAAUCAUCUAUGACUGACAAACUCUGGAACAAGUGGAAACAAGGAACGCAUUUACUACACAAAAAUAUCAAGAAGGGCUUUCAACGGGCCAUCCUAACAAAGACAAGGCUAUAGGCGAAGUAGGAACAACCAGUAGAUGCCAGAAGUCGGAUGUGCGCUGCUAUGGAAACGGAAGAAAACGCAGCAGAGAAGGAAGUCCCGCUAUUGAUUAAAAUGACCAAAAUAAGGUUCAGAGAAGCCCCUGACAGGAUGACUAGGAUAGUGGGGGAUCCACA